AGCGGUGGAGCAUGUGGUUUAAUUCGAUGAUACGCGAGGAACCUUACCAGGGCUUAAAUGUAGAUUGACAGGUUUAGAGAUAGACUUUUCUUCGGACAAUUUACAAGGUGCUGCAUGGUUGUCGUCAGCUCGUGCCGUGAGGUGUCAGGUUAAGUCCUAUAACGAGCGCAACCCCUGUUGUUAGUUGCCAGCGAGUCAUGUCGGGAACUCUAACAAGACUGCCAGUGCAAACUGUGAGGAAGGUGGGGAUGACGUCAAAUCAUCACGGCCCUUACGUCCUGGGCUACACACGUGCUACAAUGGCGGUGACAGUGGGCAGCUACUUCGCGAGAAGAUGCUAAUCUCUAAAAACCGUCUCAGUUCGGAUUGUUCUCUGCAACUCGAGAGCAUGAAGGCGGAAUCGCUAGUAAUCGCGGAUCAGCAUGCCGCGGUGAAUACGUUCCCAGGCCUUGUACACACCGCC
rnacentral:rRNA from 15 species